UUAAGCGACUAAGCGUACACGGUGGAUGCCCUGGCAGUCAGAGGCGAUGAAGGACGUGCUAAUCUGCGAAAAGCGUCGGUAAGGUGAUAUGAACCGUUAUAACCGGCGAUGUCCGAAUGGGGAAACCCAGUGCAAUUCGUUGCACUAUCGUUAACUGAAUACAUAGGUUAACGAGGCGAACCGGGGGAACUGAAACAUCUAAGUACCCCGAGGAAAAGAAAUCAACCGAGAUUCCCCCAGUAGCGGCGAGCGAACGGGGAGCAGCCCAGAGUCUGAAUCAGCCUGUGUGUUAGUGGAACGGUCUGGAAAGUCCGACGGUACAGGGUGAUAGUCCCGUACACCAAAAUGCACAGGCUGUGAACUCGAAGAGUAGGGCGGGACACGUGGUAUCCUGUCUGAAUAUGGGGGGACCAUCCUCCAAGGCUAAAUACUCCUGACUGACCGAUAGUGAACCAGUACCGUGAGGGAAAGGCGAAAAGAACCCCGGCGAGGGGAGUGAAAAAGAACCUGAAACCGUGUACGUACAAGCAGUGGGAGCACCUUCGGGUGUGACUGCGUACCUUUUGUAUAAUGGGUCAGCGACUUAUAUUCUGUAGCAAGGUUAACCGUAUAGGGGAGCCGCAGGGAAACCGAGUCUUAACUGGGCGUUAAGUUGCAGGGUAUAGACCCGAAACCCGGUGAUCUAGCCAUGGGCAGGUUGAAGGUUGGGUAACACUAACUGGAGGACCGAACCGACUAAUGUUGAAAAAUUAGCGGAUGACUUGUGGCUGGGGGUGAAAGGCCAAUCAAACCGGGAGAUAGCUGGUUCUCCCCGAAAGCUAUUUAGGUAGCGCCUCGUGAAUUCAUCUUCGGGGGUAGAGCACUGUUUCGGCUAGGGGGUCAUCCCGACUUACCAACCCGAUGCAAACUACGAAUACCGAAGAAUGUUAUCACGGGAGACACACGGCGGGUGCUAACGUCCGUCGUGAAGAGGGAAACAACCCAGACCGCCAGCUAAGGUCCCAAAGUCAUGGUUAAGUGGGAAACGAUGUGGGAAGGCACAGACAGCCAGGAUGUUGGCUUAGAAGCAGCCAUCAUUUAAAGAAAGCGUAAUAGCUCACUGGUCGAGUCGGCCUGCGCGGAAGAUGUAACGGGGCUAAACCAUGCACCGAAGCUGCGGCAGCGACACUAUGUGUUGUUGGGUAGGGGAGCGUUCUGUAAGCCUGCGAAGGUGUGCUGUGAGGCAUGCUGGAGGUAUCAGAAGUGCGAAUGCUGACAUAAGUAACGAUAAAGCGGGUGAAAAGCCCGCUCGCCGGAAGACCAAGGGUUCCUGUCCAACGUUAAUCGGGGCAGGGUGAGUCGACCCCUAAGGCGAGGCCGAAAGGCGUAGUCGAUGGGAAACAGGUUAAUAUUCCUGUACUUGGUGUUACUGCGAAGGGGGGACGGAGAAGGCUAUGUUAGCCGGGCGACGGUUGUCCCGGUUUAAGCAUGUAGGCUGGUUGUCCAGGCAAAUCCGGAUAAUCAAGGCUGAGGUGUGAUGACGAGGCACUACGGUGCUGAAGUAACAAAUGCCCUGCUUCCAGGAAAAGCCUCUAAGCAUCAGGUAACAUCAAAUCGUACCCCAAACCGACACAGGUGGUCAGGUAGAGAAUACCAAGGCGCUUGAGAGAACUCGGGUGAAGGAACUAGGCAAAAUGGUGCCGUAACUUCGGGAGAAGGCACGCUGGUGUGUAGGUGAAGCCCCUGCGGGUGGAGCUGAGACCAGUCGAAGAUACCAGCUGGCUGCAACUGUUUAUUAAAAACACAGCACUGUGCAAACACGAAAGUGGACGUAUACGGUGUGACGCCUGCCCGGUGCCGGAAGGUUAAUUGAUGGGGUUAUCCGUAAGGAGAAGCUCUUGAUCGAAGCCCCGGUAAACGGCGGCCGUAACUAUAACGGUCCUAAGGUAGCGAAAUUCCUUGUCGGGUAAGUUCCGACCUGCACGAAUGGCGUAAUGAUGGCCAGGCUGUCUCCACCCGAGACUCAGUGAAAUUGAACUCGCUGUGAAGAUGCAGUGUACCCGCGGCAAGACGGAAAGACCCCGUGAACCUUUACUAUAGCUUGACACUGAACAUUGAGCCUUGAUGUGUAGGAUAGGUGGGAGGCUUUGAAGCGUGGACGCCAGUCUGCGUGGAGCCAACCUUGAAAUACCACCCUUUAAUGUUUGAUGUUCUAACGUUGGCCCCUUACCGGGGUUGCGGACAGUGUCUGGUGGGUAGUUUGACUGGGGCGGUCUCCUCCCAAAGCGUAACGGAGGAGCACGAAGGUUAGCUAAUCCUGGUCGGACAUCAGGAGGUUAGUGCAAUGGCAUAAGCUAGCUUGACUGCGAGCGUGACGGCGCGAGCAGGUGCGAAAGCAGGUCAUAGUGAUCCGGUGGUUCUGAAUGGAAGGGCCAUCGCUCAACGGAUAAAAGGUACUCCGGGGAUAACAGGCUGAUACCGCCCAAGAGUUCAUAUCGACGGCGGUGUUUGGCACCUCGAUGUCGGCUCAUCACAUCCUGGGGCUGAAGUAGGUCCCAAGGGUAUGGCUGUUCGCCAUUUAAAGUGGUACGCGAGCUGGGUUUAGAACGUCGUGAGACAGUUCGGUCCCUAUCUGCCGUGGGCGCUGGAGAAUUGAGGGGGGCUGCUCCUAGUACGAGAGGACCGGAGUGGACGCAUCACUGGUGUUCGGGUUGUCAUGCCAAUGGCACUGCCCGGUAGCUAAAUGCGGAAGAGAUAAGUGCUGAAAGCAUCUAAGCACGAAACUUGCCCCGAGAUGAGUUCUCCCUGAGACUUUAAGUCUCCUGAAGGAACGUUGAAGACGACGACGUUGAUAGGCCGGGUGUGUAAGCGCAGCGAUGCGUUGAGCUAACCGGUACUAAUGAACCGUGAGGCUUAACCUU
rnacentral:rRNA from 1 species